AGAGACUGAAAAUAAGAAAGGGGUGAGGCCUAAGGGACAAUCAGGAUGUUUUUCAGAGAGAAGUGUGGAUGCUGGACAGGAAGAACCACAGAUACCAGAUACGGAAAAGGAAGAAUCAACACUUUCAGAGAUGGAGCCUGUUGAGCCACAGUACCAACUAGUCAAUGCUGAAUCGACUUCUCCCUUUCUACAUUGCCUGAGAGAAGUCAUUGGGGAAUACUCUGUACACGAAUUUUCACUGUUGGGGAAAACAGAGAGUCAAGGGAUUGGAUUGUGGAUUGCAUUGGUGGUUUUCCUCAGUUUCCUCAUCUUCUCCACAAGUUUCUACAUAUCGAAUGCAGAGCAGCCCUUCUUCAAAGGACCUCCUACGGAAGCUGCUAAGGAACUCAGUCUGUAGCUCUGCGUGGAGCCAUGUGUAAACACUGAACUGAGACCUGCCACCUCCUACUACCUAAGGGCCCAUUUUCAUCUGAUAUCAUCCCCCAGAAACAAACUCAUGAUGACUUCCAUGUUUUUUUUAGAUUAGAUACAUGGAGAAUUUUCCUUUCCCUUAGAAUUAAAAUCCUGCAUUCUAAUUUUCAGUAAGCUUUUUUAUUUCUGAAUAAUUUUAAAUUUAAAGAGAAGUUGCAAAGAUAGUAUAGAAUGUUCCCUUAUACCUGUUUUUAUUUAGAGUGAUGUUCCCAGGAGAAAUGAUAAUGCAGCAAUGGACAAGAACAGGAACAAGAGACAGUCUUACCAUCUUCUUACAAUUUAUAGAUGGGACAGUGGAAAGAGAAGCCACAUCGGGGUUGGGCAUGCAGAGACCUGGUCCUAAAUCUGUGUGACUUUUGCGAAAUCCUUUUGCCUCACAGAGCUCUAGGUUCUUAUCUGUCAAACAGGAACCAGACCAUCAGAUCCGUAGAGAUCCAACCAAUGAAGGAGACUUCGAAAACUUCACAUUGCCGUGUCAAUGUGAGGUUGCUGGAUGGUUAUGACAAGAAAUCACAUUAAAUUCACUGGGGUAACAUUGUUCAUGAAACGGGAUAAUGUGUUUCAGCGAUGAACCACCCAUGGCCUUACUACAGACAUAUUUCCACUUUGAAAAUGUGUGUGAGUGUACAUGUCUGUGUGUGAGGCAGAGAUUAGAAAGUGGUAAAACUUUUUCGUCUCUACAGAACUCUCUCCAAGUGCACACCCAUAGAUUGGUUUGCUUGUGGAAUCCUAGCAUAUCAGAAAUGAAGGAAUCUCAGAAAUUGUUUUCAUCAAACACCUCAUAUGCAGAAGGCAAAAUGAAGGUUCAGAGCAGAAAUGAUUUGUCCAAGGAUGCAACACUCAUCUGCAGCAGAGGGAAGCUGAGCUCUGCAGACCCACCUAGCACUGCAGAGGCAGCCCUCUAGGACAAGGCUUCAUAAAAAAGUGACUUUAUGAGUUGGCUCCAUAAAAAAGAUACAGAUUAAGAAAUUGUUUAAACA
rnacentral:lncRNA from 1 species